rnacentral:rRNA from 1 species
CAGCCGCCGCGGGAAUACGAAGGGUGCAAGCGUUAAUCGGAAUUACUGGGCGUAAAGCGUGCGUAGGCGGUUUGUUAAGUCUGUUGUGAAAUCCCCGGGCUCAACCUGGGAAUGGCAAUGGAUACUGGCAAGCUAGAGUGUGUCAGAGGAUGGUGGAAUUCCCGGUGUAGCGGUGAAAUGCGUAGAGAUCGGGAGGAACAUCAGUGGCGAAGGCGGCCAUCUGGGACAACACUGACGCUGAGGCACGAAAGCGUGGGGAGCAAACAGGAUUAGAUACCCGCGUAGUCCCUGUCUCUUAUAC